rnacentral:rRNA from 1 species
AUUGAACGCUGGCGGCAUGCCUUACACAUGCAAGUCGAACGGCAGCACGGGACUCGGGCAACUGAGCCCUGGUGGCGAGUGGCGAACGGGUGAGUAAUGCAUCGGAACGUGCCCAGUAGUGGGGGAUAACUAGUCGAAAGAUUAGCUAAUACCGCAUACGACCUAUGGGUGAAAGCGGGGAGUUUUCGGGCAACCGAGAACCUCGCGCUAUCGGAGCGGCCGAUGUCGAUUAGCUAGUUGGCGGGGUAAGGCCCACCAAGGCUUCGAUCAGUAGCUGGUCUGAGAGGACGACCAGCCACACUGGGACUGAGACACGGCCCAGACUCCUACGGGAGGCAGCAGUGGGGAAUUUUGGACAAUGGGCGCAAGCCUGAUCCAGCCAUGCCGCGUGCGGGAA